rnacentral:rRNA from 1 species
GACGUAGGGCGCGAGCGUUGUCCGGAUUUAUUGGGCGUAAAGAGCUCGUAGGCGGCUUGUCGCGUCGUCCGUGAAAACUUGGGGCUCAACCCCAAGCUUGCGGUCGAUACGGGCAGGCUCGAGUUCGGUAGGGGAGACUGGAAUUCCUGGUGUAGCGGUGAAAUGCGCAGAUAUCAGGAGGAACACCCGUGGCGAAAGCGGCUCUCUGGGACGGUACUGACGCUGAGGUGCGAAAGCGUGGGGAGCAAACAGG